rnacentral:rRNA from 1 species
UGCAGUGACUAUAGCGAGGAGGAUACACCUGUUCCCAUCCCGAACACAGUAGUUAAGCUCCUUAGCGCCGAUGAUACUUGGAGGGUGACCUCCUGGGAAAUUAGGACGUCGCUGCUU